rnacentral:rRNA from 1 species
UACAGAGGUCUCGAGCGUUAGGCGGAAUCACUGGGCUUAAAGCGUGUGUAGGCGGAUCGUUAAGUACCUUGUGAAAUCCCACGGCUUAACCGUGGAACUGCUUGGUAUACUGGCGGUCUUGAGCCAGCUAGGGGCUACCGGAACAAAUGGUGGAGCGGUGAAAUGCGUAGAUAUCAUUUGGAACGCCAAUGGUGAAAACAGGUAGCUGGGGCUGUGCUGACGCUGAGACACGAAGCCAGGGAGCAAACGGG